UGUUGUUGGAGAGGCCACAAGGAAUCGGGAGCAGGAAUUAGGGUAAACAGUAACAAGAUGUCCAGAGGACUGCGAAAAUGUUCUGGGGAGCUUGGAGCAAGGUAGGGUCUGAUGGGACCACAGCCUAUGCUGCUUUUCAGCAGGACUGCGUGUCCAUUGCUACAGAGGCUUGGAGGAAGAGGCCGUGUCUUACCCAUGCCUUCAUCCUCGGUCUCCAGCAUAGGAGCAGCAUGGAGUCUAUGAUCUGUAAGCAGAAAGGAUCCAGAAGCAAUGUGUAUAUUUACAGUUCCCCACGAUGAACGCAUUUGUUGCAUAUCACAAGCACAUGCUAAUAAAAGUGAAAAGGAAAUGCACACCGAUUAGAAUUAAAUGCUGCCCG
rnacentral:lncRNA from 1 species